rnacentral:rRNA from 1 species
AGAGUUUGAUCAUGGCUCAGAUUGAACGCUGGCGGCGUGCCUAACACAUGCAAGUCGAGCGGUAACAGGUGUAGCAAUACAUGCUGACGAGCGGCGGACGGGUGAGUAACGCUUGGGAAUCUGCCUGAUAGUGGGGGACAACCCGGGGAAACUCGGGCUAAUACCGCAUACGCACUACGGUGGAAAGCCGGGGACCGUAAGGCCUGGCGCUAACAGAUGAGCCCAAGUCGGAUUAGCUAGUUGGUAGGGUAACGGCCUACCAAGGCGACGAUCCGUAACUGGUCUGAGAGGACGACCAGUCACACCGGAACUGAGACACGGUCCGGACUCCUACGGGAGGCAGCAGUGGGGAAUAUUGGACAAUGGGCGAAAGCCUGAUCCAGCGACGCCGCGUGGGUGAAGAAGGCCUGCGGGUUGUAAAGCCCUUACGGCGGGGAAGAAAAGCCUCGAGUUAAUACCUCGGGGUCUUGACGUAACCCAUAGAAGAAGCACCGGCUAACUCUGUGCCAGCAGCCGCGGUAAUAC